rnacentral:rRNA from 1 species
CGGCGGACGGGUGAGUAACGCGUGGGUAACCUACCCUGCACACACGGAUAACAUACCGAAAGGUAUGCUAAUACGGGAUAAUAUAUUUGAGAGGCAUCUCUUGAAUAUCAAAGGUGAGCCAGUACAGGAUGGACCCGCGUCUGAUUAGCUAGUUGGUAAGGUAACGGCUUACCAAGGCGACGAUCAGUAGCCGACCUGGGAGGGUGAUCGGCCACAUUGGAACUGAGACACGGUCCAA